UGCAGUCCCAGGCUACAGCUCGGGAUGUGGAGCUGCCUUCCUAGGCCAGAAGAGAGAUGCUGAGAACACCAGGCUGGCAGACAUGGGGUCUUCCUAUGUUGCCCAGCCUGGUCUUGAACUCCUGGUCUCAAGUGAUCCUACUGCCUUGGCCUCCCAAAGUGCCGGAAUUACAGAUGGAGUUUUGCUCGUCACGCAGGCUAGAGUGCAGUGGCGUGAUCUCGGCUCACUGCAACCUCCACCUCCCGGGUUCGAGCGACUCUCCUUCCUCAGCCUCCUGAGUAGCUGGCAUUACAGGCGCCCGCCACUAAGCCUGGCUAAUUUUUGAACAAUUACGUUUUAAAACUAGGUGCCAGCAUUUAAAAUUUAGGGUGAAUUCACGAUAUUCUGAUUUGUGGCUUUUCGUGAAACGUGGAAAGAUCUGACCCGCUGGGUGAGCAGGUCCACUUAAGGCAGGCACAUCCCCUUCCGUUUGCCGCCACCCCACCCUACCCACCUGGGCUGAGCCCUGAAAGCACCCAAGUUUAUAACCUCCCUAUCCGUUCACCACCAUACCUUACCCCUGCCCCACAAAGGAAGGUACCAUGUUACCCAAUGAACAUGACUCCAACCCUCAUCCCCCAAUCUCAAGCAGAAAAGUUCGAGAUCCCAUGGCUUCACAGCAGAAACAGAAAAACUCAAUCCGUAAGUUGAUCACUGAGGUUAAUACACACAGGAUCGUCUUCCUGUAGCUCAACGGUCUUGACUUUUCAGGGCCGUGACCCAGGAGGGAGGCGCCCGUGCAGAAGGCAGAACAGGAAGAGCUUCUUAGCACCCACUGUCUUCUCUUCCUGCACAGCCGCCUUGGGCAGCUGCCUGUGAACAGCACGGCUGUUUUUCUCCUAGCUCUCUCGGAAGGAAGUGCUCUCAUCACCCACGACAACAGAGUUGGCCUGAGGAGCCAAAAACGUGCACAGGGGCUCCAAGCCCAGCUCUCCUUCUGUUCAGGGCAGCCUCAGAGACAGGAAGAUGGGAAGAAAGUACAGCCUGGGAUAGAACAUCCUGCGAGCCCCUUACAAAGCCCCAGCUGUGGGGGAAGGGAACGAGAGGAGGGGGCCAGAGGAAGGGGGUCCAGGACACACCGAUUUUGUACAAUGAGCUCCUUUCAUCCAUGAAUAGAGGACUCUCCUCAACUCUGUCUCAAUGGCUUUGUUUCUGAAACGAUCAAUUCUACACCCAGAAAGCCAAAUUUGCCAGACCUCGUGCCAAGGUCAGGCAAGAGCCUGAGAUCCCCCAAGCAAGUUGAUAAUCAACACGCAGGAGACGUCACUGUGCUAAGUCCCGUUUGGCAGAUCCAAAGCUUACAACGAUCCACUUUUAUUUCCACGCUUUCUGCGGUGGGGCGGGGUUGGGGGACCCUCGCUCACAUGCAUGCCACGCUUGGUGGAACUGUAGGCUGUAUUCAGGAGAGUAAGUGUUACUUUCCCAGGGACUUCAUUGAGACAUCUGCGGGGAGGGCAGGAUGAGAAAGAGCUGGAGGAAAAAGAUGCAAGGUAAAGUGUGUGGUCUCGAAUUGAACACAUUCAUGAAGUGGCAGGAAGCAUCCCUAGUGACUCAGCAGUGGCCUCUGUUUAGCCAGCACUUUGAGAACACGAUCUUCAUGGGCUGACGGCAGAGGUGGCCAACAGAAACUGGAAUCUACAAGCAGUAUUCAGCUCAGGCAUAGUUUGUUCAGCCUGCACAAUGUUUUCAAAAGAACAACAAAAACCUACACAGCAUGCCAACGCUUCACAUUCAGGACGUUUCACAUAAACUGCAAAGUUCUGGCAUUUUUUUUGGAAAAAUCAGAAGACCUGUCUACACAAAUCCAGCAUUUUCCUAAGAGACUGCCUCUCUGGCACUGGGACGCAGUUAUCCCUCUCGGAAGGGUCACAGGCCCUCCAGCUUGCCACGGUCCCUGCCCCAGACACAUGUCCUUUACUUAUUAUGGCUGCCGGUGUCAGUGGGUUCUAAGCUAAGCCCAGCACUUUCAGCUGGAGGACCUGAACUUAAGAGAGAAGGACCAGAUAUGAACCAUAGACUGGUUGUAAAGUAACGUGGCUGCAAAGUCCAAGAAUAAUUUAACUCAAGAAGCACCUAUGAAUGCAAACCCAGGAAUACAAGGCAGAGAGCACAGCUGACUCCCAUGGAUAGGGUUGGGAGUCCUGUCUUCUCAUCAGCCCCUGUUACAUACUCUUUUAACAACGUGUCCCACUUCCCCAAGACCAGGGACUACCUCCUCUGUUCUUAUGCUUAAUGAAGUCCUGAGACUGCCACAUAGAAAGCACUUGGUAAAUUCUUGUUGAACCCAAAUCAGUUGAAACCCAAGUCAUGUUAUAGGUGGAAUCUGACAGAUGUAUGCUGAGAACUCAGCCAACUUGUGAGCUGUAGGAUGUUUUCCUGACUGUAAGUCAAGGCAACUCCUCCCUAUAAAGAAGAGUCUGGGGUGUAAAUGACACAGCAGAAGGAGACAAGCUCAACCUACCGAUUGGCUAAUGUCUGAGAUGAGGAAGCAGAAAGUUUAGUCUUUACAGGAUACGUAGUCCCCAGGACCAGGGACCAGGACCACGAUGAGCUAUGGUCUGUUAGGAAGGUAUUACAUGUGUUGACUUCAUAAAAUUAAAGCAUGUUCCAACUUAUCAAAGGAUGCAAAAACUCCACAGAAGGAAGGAAGGACCUCACGUGGUGGCAGGUGCAGCAUAUUUUACUGUAGCCUUUCUAGGUCUAAAAAGGUAAAAUGAGGUUUAU
ensembl:lncRNA